rnacentral:lncRNA from 1 species
CCAAAUACACUGUUUUUUUUCUCAACACGGAAUAAAAAAAGAUAGAAUGAUGGCGUCAUGUUUAAUUUCUGGUAUCAAAUUGCAAGGAUAAAACAAGAAAUUACUGCACCUGAUUAAUUUCAUCAAAAUCAACUAAUUGCAGCAAUACUGAUCCAUCUAAAUCAAUAAAUCCUAGUAGAACAAAUAAACUCGUAUACUGACAAUCCAGAACAAAAUAAACGAAGGCGCGACCGAUUGCAAAUUCUGUUGGGUGUCGUCGUGGUUGCUGGUUGCGGCGUGAGUGACAACUUUGGCCGUCGGGUGUAGAUCGACUGCAAGCCGCGGUGCGGCCCCCACAAUUUUCCAACCAGCGAACUGCCCUACCCUAGAUUAUUGUCAUCAAACCUUAAGAAAAAGCCUAGUAAAAUGGUUGAUGAGAGGAGGGUUGAUACUUGUCUGAUUUCCAAAGUUUGGGGCUCUAAAGUAUAUGGUUUGAAGUUUGGGGUCGUUUCUUUG